ACGAAACAGCAAAUUUCUUGAGGUUGGUUGAUCUUUGGUUGGGUGUGUGGCGGGGGAUAUAAUUCUCCGCUCCUCAUGCCUGAUCUGAGCGUCCCACUCGGAAUUUUGUUACCCACACUUGUGCACCGUCACCUGUCUUUGGCAAGGAAAAGCGAGGAAGCGAUUCCACGCGGAGUGCCUGCCGAACAAUUUCAACCUAUAAAUUAUUGAACCACCUGUCUGAAGAUUUUUGGCAUGCCUGUAACAGGGUGGGCCAGUUUUAUUCUAUAAAAACUCAAUA
rnacentral:misc_RNA from 1 species